rnacentral:rRNA from 1 species
AUUGAACGCUGGCGGCAGGCUUAACACAUGCAAGUCGAGCGAGCGGCGGACGGGUGAGUAAUGUCUGGGAAACUGCCUGAUGGAGGGGGAUAACUACUGGAAACGGUAGCUAAUCCCGCAUACCAUCAGAUGUGCCCAGAUGGGAUUAGCUAGUAGGUGGGGUAAUGGCUCACCUAGGCGACGAUCCCUAGCUGGUCUGAGAGGACGACGAGUCACACUGGAUAUGAGACACGGUCCAGACGCCUACGUGAGGCAGCAGUGGGGAAUAUUGCACAAGGGGCGCAAGUCGGAUGCAGCCAUGCCGCGUGUGUGAAGAAGGCCUUCGGGUGGUAAAGCACUUUCAGCGAGGAGGCGUUACUCGCAGAAGAAGCACCGGCUAACUCCGUGCCAGCGGCCGCGGUAAUAC